AGAGGAAAAUCCGUCGACUUUUAAAAUCGUGAGGGUUCAAGUCCCUCUAU
rnacentral:tRNA from 2 species